ACUCCAGCUACAGUAUCAGGAUCCAGAACAUAAGCUCUUUUUUUUUCAGAACGUGAGGCUAACUCAGCGACCUCAGUUUUCCAGAAAAUCCGAGCAUUUGAGCCCGAUGAGCUUAAGUCACUUCUCCCUAAAGAAGUAAUAGUAUACUAUUCCGAAGAAGAAGCUUCGUGUUUCCUUGAGAGAGAAGAAAUAGGAAGCAAAUGAGGGCGUGGAGAAACUUUCUUCUUAGUAUUCAGGAGAUUUGGAGAGACUAGACAACGUACAGAGGAUGAUUCAGUCAUGGAUGAUGAUGAUUGAUGAUUCUCCAGAGCCAGAAAGAAGCUCUGGUCUUAGUCUAACCAAACCUUAUCCGGACUUGGCUUGAAGCUAGAAAAAUAUUAGAACAAAGUUAGAUUCCCAAUAUGGAUGUUUCUGAGGAGGAGUUUGACAGUGAUUAUGCGAGCGGGUCAUCUGAAGGAUCAAGCCAAGGAGAAAACUUUGUGGAUUUUAUGCUGUCUGAAAUGCUUGCUGAUAUGUCUGAUGAUUCAGAAGAUGUGCUUGAUUAUGCAAUUGCAGCGUUCAUCUCUUCAAGUAACUCACUUCAAGUAACUCACUUCAACCCGAGACUAAGCAAGUGUUAGCGCAGCUUUGGCCUCCGCGAUCAGAUCACAAGCCUAAUGUGUCUGAUACAAUGAAGGUCCUCGAUCAUCUCUCUGGUGUGAGGAUGGGGUCGCCUUUAUACAUUGCCUCGAUGGCUCAUAUUCAGGCUGAUGUAAUUCACCGAGAGGCCUUCUUAGCAUUUCGUGAUCCCGAGGAUAAGGUUUGCUACUUGGAGUACAAGACUGGGAAGAAAAGGGAUGAAUGAUUUUGUUACUUUUUCACUUCUGACUUUUAUUAUGUGACUUAUGUAUAUGACUUUUUUUAUUUGUAAACUGGUUUCAUAUCGAGUUUUAUGUUUUCUCAGUUCAGUGGUGAACUUCAUUCAAUCAAA